rnacentral:Y_RNA from 1 species
GGUUGGUCCGAGUGCAGUGGUGUUUACAGCUAACUGAUCACAACCAGUUACAGAUUCCUUUGUUCCUUCUCCACUCCCACUGCUUCACUCGACCAGCCUUAA